GCUGCCUUAGCUCAAUUGGUAGAGCAGCUGAUUUGUAAUCAGCCGGUUGGAGGUUCGAGUCCAUCAGGCAGCU
rnacentral:tRNA from 1 species